rnacentral:tRNA from 1 species
UCGCGGGUAAAUAGUGGCUUCCUCUCGUUUACACCGAGAGGGUCGGGGGUUCGAGCCCCUCACCGCCCACCA